UGUGGGGGCAGAGGAAUGGGGCGGGGUCAAGGCUGAAGGCCGGGGCGGGGCGGAGGGAUGGGGCGGAGGGACGGCAUCAGGCCGGGCCUGGGGCGGGGCGGGGCGCGGCGCUUUCCGCAAGCUGCCACCGGAGGGCGCGCUGGGCGGGCAGCGGCGGCAGACCACGCAGGCAGCCUGUAAGCCACAGCGGACGCAGGGGGCCGCAGCGGGUGCUCAGCCCUAGGGCCGAGCGGGAGAUGUGCGGCGAGUGCAGAAGGGCGGACCCGGGAUGUCCCGGGUUUUCGAGCGGGGAGCCGCCUGCUGAAUGCCCUUCUGCUGUCCUCCGUUCCCGCGGCUCCCCUAGGAGCCCCGCCCCGCCCAACUCUUACCCGGGCUCAUCGCCGCGGCUCAUCUCUCUCGCAACCGCCGCCGCACGCACCCGCUCCGCCGCCCCGCGCAGGGCAUCCUGUCGCCAGGUAACCGGGUGGCAGGGGCGCCGGCCCCACCCCCACCCUCGGCGGCGCGCGCUCGGCUGGGGUCCCUAGUGGGGUCCCGGUGGGUCCCUCGUCACUCCGGACGCUUCCCCGAGAGCUUCCCUGGAAAGCUGGCCUGGGACAGCACACCUGGGCGCCUCCCCGCACACGCGCGGCUGUCCAGGACGGGCUUGCUCACACUCGGACUCGCGGCACUACCCGCCGGACCAAAGCGCGCAUCCCUAAGAGGAGUUUCAGCAUUUGGGGAUUUGAACGGCCCAUGACCAAUAUUGUGAAAGGACUUUUGUUUGCUGCAAUGAAAAGAAGAUUCCUAUUUUCCAAUAAUGAAUUAACCUAAACAUGUAUUAAAAUAUGCUCAUGAAA